CUCCAUUAAAAUCUAUAAUGCUCACAAGAAUCGGAAAGGAAGGAAAGUAAUUCAAUGGAAGAAUCUUGCUGGUAUUCCGGAGCAAAAAAAUGACAAGACUUGUGGAUAUUUCAUUAUGCGUUACAUGAAAGAAAUUGUGGAGGACAAGAACUUGGAUUUUAGUAUGAAGUGGGGAACGAGGUCAAAUUUGGUUUACACAGUCAAUGAUAUUGAUGAGAUCCGAGCGGAAUGGGCUGAGCAUGUUUUGAAGUUCCCAGAAAAUUAAGUAUCAGCCUAUAUAUAUGCUUUUGUUUCUGGUAGGUUAUGAGCAGUAGUAGUGGCUAGGAACUGCUUUUGUGCAUUUUGACAGAACUGAUGGAAAGUGUUGAACAAAUGCAUGCAGUUGCUGUAACUACUCUAUGGAUGCUACUAGGUUUUUGUCUUAGUUAGAUUAAGAUCCGUGCAACAAUGGCAGUCAUUAAAAUCAUUUAAUGUAAAGGCUAGCAUGCUAGCUAGUUUAGUAUUAUGCUACUGAUGGGAAUG